AUUGAACGCUGGCGGCAUGCCUUACACAUGCAAGUCGAACGGUAACGGGCCUUCGGGUGCCGACGAGUGGCGAACGGGUGAGUAAUACAUCGGAACGUGCCCGAUCGUGGGGGAUAACGAGGCGAAAGCUUUGCUAAUACCGCAUACGAUCUACGGAUGAAAGCAGGGGACCGCAAGGCCUUGCGCGGACGGAGCGGCCGAUGGCAGAUUAGGUAGUUGGUGGGAUAAAAGCUUACCAAGCCGACGAUCUGUAGCUGGUCUGAGAGGAUGAUCAGCCACACUGGGACUGAGACACGGCCCAGACCCCUACGGGAGGCAGCAGUGGGGAAUUUUGGACAAAGGGCGCAAGCCUGAUCCAGCCAUGCCGCGUGCAGGAUGAAGGCCUUCGGGUUGUAAACUGCUUUUGUACGGAACGAAAAGCCUUCUUUUAAUACAGGAGGGUCAUGACGGUACCGUAAGAAUAAGCACCGGCUAACUACGUG
rnacentral:rRNA from 1 species